UCAGGACGAACGCUGGCGGCGUGCUUAACACAUGCAAGUCGAACGGUAAGGCCCUUUCGGGGGUACACGAGUGGCGAACGGGUGAGUAACACGUGGGUGAUCUGCCCUGCACUUUGGGAUAAGCCUGGGAAACUGGGUCUAAUACCGAAUACACCCUGCUGGUCGCAUGGCCUGGUGGGGGAAAGCUUUUGCGGUGUGGGAUGGGCCCGCGGCCUAUCAGCUUGUUGGUGGGGUGAUGGCCUACCAAGGCGACGACGGGUAGCCGGCCUGAGAGGGUGUCCGGCCACACUGGGACUGAGAUACGGCCCAGACUCCUACGGGAGGCAGCAGUGGGGAAUAUUGCACAAUGGGCGCAAGCCUGAUGCAGCGACGCCGCGUGAGGGAUGACGGCCUUCGGGUUGUAAACCUCUUUCAGCAGGGACGAAGCGCAAGUGACGGUACCUGUAGAAGAAGCACCGGCCAACUACGUGCCAGCAGCCGCGGUAAUACGUAGGGUGCGAGCGUUGUCCGGAAUUACUGGGCGUAAAGAGCUCGUAGGUGGUUUGUCGCGUUGUCCGUGAAAACUCACAACUCAAUUGUGGGCGUGCGGGCGAUACGGGCAGACUGGAGUACUGCAGGGGAGACUGGAAUUCCUGGUGUAGCGGUGGAAUGCGCAGAUAUCAGGAGGAACACCGGUGGCGAAGGCGGGUCUCUGGGCAGUAACUGAC
rnacentral:rRNA from 1 species